rnacentral:lncRNA from 1 species
GCUGGAACAGCAGCCAGCCUGUCCCAAACCUGGUUCUGCUUUACAUCCAGCCUUGUUUGUGGUUCCUGCUGCAGUGGCAGCUGUGCCUUGGAUCAGGCACAGGACAGAGCAUCUGCUGUGAGAGAAACCUCGAGAAAGAACAGCAUUUUGAAACUCUGUGCUCUUAAGAACCGCUCAGCUGUAACCUAGAAAGGUGCAAAGGGACCCUGUCCUUCAGGAUGAGAAGUACAAGGCACAAGGGCAGCCUGGAGAGAAGAAAUAUUGUCUUCCAUUGACGUUUGUGGGUGCUGAUCUGGACCUUCUCCAUAUGCUGGGGGAGGCUGUCUGCAAACUUCUGCCCAUCUCCCGAGCAGCAGGAGCAGCUCCAGCUCUCGGGCUCUGCUGUUGCCAUGGCUGUGCCCCAGUAUAAAGAUCCUAUGGAUGAAAUAGCUCCUUUGUCACAAGGACAUGACUCAGAAGCACAGAAGACAGAACAUCUUGGCAUUAGAGCAGCCACUGUGCUCCAACUAUUUGUAGAAGUUUGUGCUACUGUGGUUGCACCAGCUUCAGACCACAUACUCUUAGUGAGAAGAGGGCCAGGGGCUGGCAUUUUUUAAAUAGAAAUUAGAAAGUCAAAAAAACAUUUAAACAAAGUUCACCCUGACUAUUGCUUCUAGGAAAGCAAAGUCUUAGGCCAUGGGUGAGACUAAAAGCUCAGGGUUUGCACAGUGACAUUUCUCUUGGCUAAAUUACCCAGUAGAAUAUGGUGGUAGUUGCAGAUUUACGUACAGAAUAAAAUUUUCCAAUCUAGUUGUGGUUUUUUUUUU